CCCUAUGCUGCCAAGAAAAUCUUCUAGCGAGGUUCGAGCCGCCCGUACCCCAAACCGACUCAGGUGGUUAGGUAGAGAAUACCAAGGCGAUCGAGUGAAUCGUGGUUAAGGAAUUCGGCAAAAUGCCCCCGUAACUUCGGGAGAAGGGGGGCCCGGAACCUGAAGUGACUUGCUCACUAGGGUGAAGGGCCGCAGAGACCAGGGAGAAGCGACUGUUUACUAAAAACACAGGUCCGUGCGAAGUCGCAAGACGAUGUAUACGGACUGACGCCUGCCCGGUGCUGGAAGGUUAAGAGGACCGGUUAGACCGUAAGGUCGAAGCUGAGAAUUUAAGCCCCAGUAAACGGCGGUGGUAACUAUAACCAUCCUAAGGUAGCGAAAUUCCUUGUCGGGUAAGUUCCGACCUGCACGAAUGGCGUAACGACUUCUCCACUGUCUCAACCGCGAACUCGGCGAAAUUGCACUACGAGUAAAGAUGCUCGUUACGCGCAGCAGGACGGAAAGACCCCGGGACCUUUACUAUAGCUUGGUAUUGGUGUUCGGUACGGCUUGUGUAGGAUAGGUGGGAGACUGUGAAGCAUGCACGCCAGUGUGUGUGGAGUCAACGUUGAAAUACCACUCUGGUCUUUCUGGAUAUCUAACCUCGGUCCGUGAUCCGGAUCAGGGACAGUGCCUGGUGGGUAGUUUAACUGGGGCGGUUGCCUCCUAAAAGGUAACGGAGGCGCUCAAAGGUUCCCUCAGCCUGGUUGGCAAUCAGGUUUCGAGUGUAAGUGCACAAGGGAGCUUGACUGCGAGAGAGACAUCUCGAGCAGGGACGAAAGUCGGAACUAGUGACCCGGCGGUGGCUUGUGGAAGCGCCGUCGCUCAACGGAUAAAAGGUACCCCGGGGAUAACAGGCUGAUCUUGCCCAAGAGUCCAUAUCGACGGCAUGGUUUGGCACCUCGAUGUCGGCUCGUCGCAUCCUGGGGGUGGAGUUGCUCCCAAGGGUUGGGCUGUUCGCCCAUUAAAGCGGUACGCGAGCUGGGUUUAGAACGUCGUGAGACAGUUCGGUCCCUAUCCGCUGUGCGCGUAGGAAACUUGAGAAGGGCUGACCCUAGUACGAGAGGACCGGGUUGGACGAACCUCUGGUGUGUCAGUUGUCCUGCCAAGGGCACCGCUGAUUAGCUACGUUCGGAAGUGAUAACCGCUGAAAGCAUCUAUGCGGGAAGCACGCUUCAAGAUGAGGUUUCCAUGCACCGUUAGGUGUGAGAGGCUCCCGGCUAGACUACCGGGUUGAUAGGCCAGACGUGGAAGUGCAGCAAUGCAUGUAGCUGACUGGUACUAAUAAGCCGACAACUUG
rnacentral:rRNA from 1 species